CCCCCUCGGAACUGUUUCAUGCAGCAAGGUCAAGUGCGCGGGACUACAAAUCAAUUUAAACAAGGGCGCCGAGGCGAUCCCCUUGAACUUUGGUGACUUCAAAUAGCCUGGUCGUCAUCCUUAGCCAAACCCCGGUACCCGAGUUCACUUAACCUGUCAUCGCCAGCUAAUAAAUUGUCCUCCGGAUGGAAGCCGACCAGAAUGAAACCUUGGAGUCAAAGUGAAUGGAUGGGCCACAGCCCUCUUUUCCCCCCACUGGUGAAACCCUGCUGAGGAAUUAAGUCAAUAUACAGAAAAUCACAGCCAAGAGCUGGAGAGAGAAAGAGAGCUCUGACAUCAUCAUUGAGCACCUGGAUCCAGCCAUACCUGAAGCCAGUGCCUCUACAGUGUUUACAUACGUUAGCUAAUAUUUCUUUUUAACUUAAGCUCAUUUGAAUUGGCUUUCUGUCUCAUUCUUUUGGUUAAAAGAAUUCUGACUCACACAGCUAGUAAAGGGCA
rnacentral:lncRNA from 1 species